GUGUGUGUCUAUAUAUAUAUAUAUAUAUAUGGGAAUUGUAUAAAUUUAAAAUGUUACGUGUUUAAUUUAAAUUUGCGUGAUAUUUGUUGAAAAUUUAUUUUUGUAUAUAUACACACCAAUUUAAAAAUAUGAUGCAAAAUACAAAUUUUAUUUAAUUAAGUCCCUAAAUAUGCAAAAAUUUGAAAGACCUUCAGCCCUCAACGACCCCCAAUCGACCAACCUCCGACGACUCUAAGGUAUGUAAGAGGGUUAAGAAUAGAAAUUUGUUUAAACUUUGACAUAAUUUAAAAAUUUUGAGUUGCCCACUUUUGAAUCUUUAGGCAUGCACG
rnacentral:lncRNA from 1 species